rnacentral:rRNA from 1 species
GACGAACCGUGCGAACGUUAUUCGGAAUCACUGGGCUUAAAGCGCGUGUAGGCGGGGCGGCACGUCGGUCGCUGAAAGCCCCCGGCUCAACCGGGGAACGGGCGCCGAUACGACCGCCCUCGAGGGACGUAGGGGGACCUGGAACUUCCGGUGGAGCGGUGAAAUGCGUAGAGAUGUGGAGGAACACCGAUGGCGAAGGCAGCCCCCUGGGCCAAUACUGACGCUCAUGCACGAAAGCGUGGGGAGCAAACAGG